GCUCCCACAGCAUAUGGAGGUUCCCAGGCUAAGGGUCUAGUCGGAGCUGUAGCCGCUGGCCUACACCACAGCCACAGCAACGCGGGAUCCGAGCCAUGUCUGCAACCUACACCACAGCUCACGGCAACGCCGGAUCCUCAACCCACUGAGCAAGGCCAGGGAUCGAACCUGCAACCUCAUGGUUCCUAGUCAGAUUUGUUAACCACUGUGCCAUGACGGGAACUCGUAUUUUUUUCUAAUCAGAUGCUUCCUUGGUCUCUUCAGGUCUGAAAGAUUAUCUAAAAUCUAAAGAAAAAAUAAUAAGUACAUUUUUAGGAAAGACUUUUAUUAUUACUCUGUCUGUGAUGUGUGUCUUCUGUUGAAUAGAGAUUAGCAUCAUGGCUUGUAGCAACUUUCACUUUUACACACAAUUUUAUAUUUGUGAUAUUAUCCACAACCUAAUAAACUUCCUGAAAGGAAGAUGUGGCUUUACAUUCUUUUGAAUCCCCCUCAGAGCUGAUAAAAGCCUGGACUGUGAGAUGUCCUAGAGGGCAUGAAUAAUUAAGGGCAAGGUCACCCCGACAUUUAGAAGAAUGCCAGGAACAUAGUAGGUGUUUAGUAAAUAUUGAUGGAGUUGAAUAUAUGUCUUAUGUAUAGUACACGCAUAAUAGAUAUUUAGCGAUUUAUUCUGAAAGGCGUCCUAGCUCUUUUGAAUAUACAAGCUGCUCAAUCGAUCACCGCAUGCUCAUCAGAUGUUGUAAAAUGAAAUAUGAGAUGAUCUAAAUAUCCUUGCAUUAAGGCAGAUAACUUGAUAAGUAUCAAAUGGGUCUUCAGUUUACUAAUUUUACCCGUGUCUAUACCACAGGCCUGACAAUAAAAACCUGUUGCUACAUUUUUAAAGUUUUCUUGUUUUUUAAUAAUGUACAAGUAAAACAUAUAUUCAAAAAUAUACACAUUAUCAUUGUUACUUGUGGUAUAAGCUACAGGUUUUUUGUUUUGUUGUGGUGGUGGUAGUUGUCGUCUGUUUUUUUAGGGCUGUACCCAUGGCAUACGGAAGUUCCCAGGCUAGGGGUCAAAUUAGAGCUGCAGCUGCUGGUCUACACCACAGCUCGCAAUGACAGAUGCUUAACCCACUGAGCGACGUCGGGGAUCCAACUUGCAUCCUCAUGGAUACUAGUCCUGUUCUUAACUCUCUGAGCCACAGCAGGAACUCCUAAGCUACACGUUUAAUGAGACUAGAAUGGAAGCCAGAUUUGGUUCUGUUUGAGGUUGUGAGAAAGAGCUUUAUACCCUGGAACUAGGACUUCUAAGGCUUAACCAGAUCUGUGUAUUGCCCCUGAAAUGUGAAUCUAAUUUCUGCUUUUAAAGUAUAUUAACUCAGAUACUAUCUUUGUUUUUUCACCAGUUAUGAGAAUUGUACCCCAACACAUGCUGGGAGAUUUAACUGCAUACAGUGACUGACAGUUACAUCAUCACAAAGACUGGAUGAGCCUGAAGCCCAAUGACAGAAAAGUUAUGAAGGAGUCCUGUCCUUUUCUCACGGAUUGGUAACCUAAAAGCCCAGAAAAAACAAUUAGAGCAUACGGAAUGUGCGGUAGAGGAGAAACUGCAGUCACAUCUUGAUAAAGAUGCACUAAUUUUUUUUCAACAGAAUACAAAAACCCACUGGAAACAAAAUACUUUAGAGAACUCAUUUAUAGGCUUAAAAUAAAAAAAAAGAAGAAGAAGAAGAAGAAAUGAAAGAAAAGGUCUUACUGCUUUGCCUCUGUUUUUCAUACUGACACCCAGUACACCCAUCCCUAGACGCCAGACUGAGGCUUGCUAACUGUGACACCCCAUCUGACUUUAUAAGGAGGCACAGCGCCCACACGCCAGCAGCGCCACUUCUGGCCAAGGUCCUUUCCCACCUUCAAAGAGAGAACAGGGUAGCAAAGAAUGGUAAUGAUGCUUAACCCGAGAGACUGCCUUUCUGCUUCUGUCUCCUUUCUCUCGUAAACUGAAUGAACUGUUGUUAUAAGACAACAUACUGCUAAGUUAAUGUAACUUAAAAAUUUACAGCAGGUUGUAUGCCUGGAGGCACAUUAUGGGGCCACCUGUAGGCAUCUAAUUCCACUGAAAAUUAUAAAUAAGUGCAGAGAAUUCCUCCGAGUCUGGAGGGGAGUGGAUAAGAACUGCGUUGCUGGUUUACUCCAACGUGGAUUCUGUCGUGGAGAUUAAAGGACAGUGCUCUCUCUCCAACAAAUGAGUAAUCCUUCUCCCCACAAAAGAGUCCGUUAAACGCAACCAGACACCUGGGUGCCAGAGCUGCACAGCCAUUUCUUGGGCACUUUUGAUAAUCCACCUGCAGAAACUGCCACUUGGCAAUUGCUUAAUAUAGCACAUGGAUCCAUUUGAGACUUUUUUUUUUCUUACAGUAUAGAAAGCUAUUUUGUUUGUCUCUCUACAUCCUGUUUAUCUUUUUGAAGCCUCCUCAUGUUUUGGCAAAGACAGAAAAUGACAGUAAGAAUAUCCUUGAUAAUGAUUCCAAGCAUUUAUUCAGGAGAAAUUAAUAUGUGUGUUUUAGCAAUGCUCAGCAACCUUGACCUUUUUCAACCUUGACCUUUUUCAACUGGGAGGUAAAAUUAAUAUACGGCAGAGCUGCUUUAAAGAAAAAGUGUUUGUUAUUAUGCUUUGGCCACAAGGUAGGUUCUAAAAGCUAACCUAAUCUUUGUCAUUUGGGUUAUAAAUAACCCAUAAACUAUAUUAAUGUAGCCCUUAGUCUUAGAGGCCCCACAGAUACUGUUUGGAUAUUGAAAUCUACGACAACCUUUUUCCACACCAACCGCAUGGCUUUGAACUAGGAAAACUCCAUGUAAAUUAUCAUUUACGUACUGAGGGUUGAAUUCUUGGUGGUUUUAAGGUCGCUAUUUCCUUCUGUUUGUACUACACGAAGGGUUAAUAAGGUUUGCAUAACCUUAUUCUUUGACGGCUUUACAGCAGAGUAUUACAGGACUGCUGCCAAAACAGAUUUUAACCCCUUUAAUCAUGCUGUUAGUAGCAGUAUUAUGCAGAGUCCAUUCUGCCCAAAUGCAAUAUAGUUCUGAAUACAGUUGGACCUGAUAGCCAAGCAAGGAAGGGUUCCUAGAGCUACUUGCCAUUUUAGUUGCUAUGGUGAGUUUCAUAUUUUAUGGAAACCACUGCUAGAUGUCUUAAAAUAGACCUUUGCCAAGAAAAACAUUGGUCCAGUGGCAUAUGCUGGCAGAGCAUUGCAAGGUUGCUCAAAUUCCCUUCCUUUGUUUUUCUCUCUCCCCCCUGGGGCAACUGCUCCAAGCAUCAGCCCACUAGUCUGGCAGGCUGAGAAUCCAGAAACUUGCUGCUAAUUAUAAUGUUGACAAUUCCCAACCUGUUUACUGGCGCCAGCAAUCAAAUCGCAUCCUCUCGAGUGAACCAAAAAGCACUUGCUGGCUUUAGCUUCCUGAGGUUCCAAGCUGGCUAUAUUAAUUACUGUUAACUUAAAACUGUAUGUUGUACAGAAGAAGCUUAAUUAGCUGGUUUGAGGAUUAAAAUCUAUCCUUUACAAAUUUUAAAGCCUUCUGUUCUUGACCAAAUUGUGUGAAUCCAUAAAACAUCUUUCCUUGGAUAAAAUGUUGCUUAUGUUAGGUAUGGCUUCUCAGAGGGAAUUUGGCCACACUAUUUAUGACCUUGAAUUAAGCACCAAAAUAGAUCAGGAGAAAAUCUCCUCCUCUCUCUCUUCUCAUCUCCCCUCCUCUUUCCCUUGCUCCUUCUCCUCCCUCCCCAUUUCAUCUCUUUAUCUUUCUAAGAGUAGUAUCUCUAUGUUGUUUUUGAAAAAACAAAAUAAGGAAGAUAAUGGGCGUAAUCAUUUCAAGUUACUGUUUAUGGUUAGUAAAAAAAGGAAAAUCUUUCAGUGGGGGAAAAAUGCUCAAAAUGUAUGUUUCUAGCUUGGUGAAUUUUAAAACCACAAUAAUGACUUACACUGUUUUUCAGGGGAACGCUCACUGCUGUGAAUGAGGUGGGAGUAGUCAUCUUUUAAAUACAAGAAGACUACUUUUUUGAUUGAUAAGUUGGGCGACUGCACGGUGAGAAAUCACCCUCUCAGGCUCCAAGAUGGUUCGCAUGGCAGGUAACCCAGGUGUGUCAGUGGCUGACCAUCAAUGCAGUUUUCAUAAUAGCACAACAACAGUGGACCUGGGUUUAGUAAAACUGAGGAUUUUAAUUUGACUCUGUUCUAAUCCAGGAGUCCUUCUGUCUUUCUUUAUUCAAGACAGCUUUAAAUAUUUAAAAGCUGAAGUAAAAGAGGGUAAAUACAAUUUUAAUUUGUAUAUUAAAAAUGUGAUUUGAUUUCUGUUCCUUGAUGUGUGAAAAUCAUGGAGUCAGUGUUCUUUGCUAAUCUUAUUUUUGAUUUUCCAUCGAAUAUACUACAUGACAAAUACUUGUCAUUCCAGUCUUUCAGCCAAUAUUUUCAUCUGGAAGCUUAUUAAAUUGAGUUGAUUUGAUUGAGAUUAAAAUUUUCCUUGUUUAACUGAAAUAACUUCAACUUGAGCAAAAGAUCAAACUGUUCCUUUAAUUACAAUUUUGGUUUGUUUCUACGUCAAUAUUAAUUUGCCCUAUAAAAUCUUCCUCAAUUUUGAGAAGUACCUAAGUAUAAGCAUACUAUAGGCCUUUAGAAUCUGUUUGCAAUCACAUCUGUGUAUACAAUGUUUGAGCUUGAAAACAGGUUAAAUCAGAUGAUUCACUGAUGUGAAAAUAAUAAUUAUUGUCACAUACAAGGAAGAGUAAAAUUAUAAGAAAAACUUCAAUAUUGAAGUUUUAGUGGGAUGUGGUUAGAAAAAAAAAAAAAUCCAGCAGACUUGGAAAAUGGGUUCCAAGUACUAUCUGCAUGUCCUGGGAAGUUAUUUAGAUUCUCUGUGUUGGGAGGGUCUCAUGUAUAAAAUAUGGAAGCAGGACCAUACACCAAAUGACUGGAUUUGAAAUCGAAAAUUAUCAUGACAACUAACUAUCCUAAGAAUUUGCAAUAGGAUGACCUAAGACUCAUGAAAUGUUGUAUUCUAUGUGGAUAAGGAACUGGAAAAUAAUUACAUCAAAAGAAAACCAGUGAUCAAGUGGGAAUGCUACAUCUGGAUACAAAAGCCAGUCCAGAAAAGAAGAAAUGUCUCAAUUUUCUAUAACUUUACUGUAGUUAGUUAACAAGUAGUCCUUCUCCCUAAACUCUAAAUCACAGUGAAUAAGAAAAACCAGAAUCUUAAACACAAGUGUCUGUAUGUUAUAUUGAGAACUGCUGCUAAUACAGUCUUAAACAAAUUCCCCUAAGUUACUUGAUUUCUAAAGCAAGGAUUCAAACAUAACAUAUGUCUUUCCCAAUAGAAAAAUGGAUUAAAAAGGUUUUUUAAAUCCAUGUUCCCCUUAGGCUUAAUUUUCCACAAGUCCGUCUUUUCAGACCGAUGAUCUUUCCUUUGACCUGCGAACGUCCAGAUUUCAUGCUUUUCUCAAUUUUCUACCGAUAAGUUAGGCCCAUUUUACUCAAACACGAUUUCCUUUUAAAUUGAUUCUAUACAAGUUCUACCUAGUUCUACACCAGAGCAUGGCUUUCUAUCUAAAUAAAAGCAAGAACUUUUGAGUACUAUAUAGAUACACUAUACAAAAGUGAUAUUGUCAACUUCCCCUCACCAUUGGGGAAAGAGCACCCUGUAAAGAAGAUCUCUUGUAAAGAUUCCUAAAACUGAUAUUUCUCAGUAUACCUCGGUAUUAGCAGUUAGAUCUUCCAAUAAAACAGCCCCAAGUAAUUUCGUUGUUCUUAAAUACAUCACCAAAAACUGCACCAUCCUCUCUACCAUCCACAUCUUGAUACUGGUACUUGCUGUCAUUGUCUCGUGUCAAAUUCAGUUGUUAUCUGCACAAAUCGCCGGCUCUAAAUGUGAAACUGUCUCAAAAAUUUAACAUCAACGCUGAUUUUUAAUGUGGCAGCCACAACUAACAAAAACCUGUUUUCUGGAGCAAAGAAUCCUCAUAUUACGACUCUGUCCUAAUAUAUAGUAUUAAACCAUCUCAACGCUGUUUGGACAACCACGCAACAGAAAGGAACUUGAGAUAUUUUAAUUAGCGUGUAAGUAAGGGGCUUCUGAACCUACACGAUCACCAGAAAUCUAUUUGAAAUCAAUUGCUUUAGAAAGCUUUAUAGAGCUUUUAUUAAACCUAUUCUCAAAGUUUUAAAUGGACAUGAUGUGUCAGAUCCAUCAUUAAACUGUGGAUGAAACAGUACGUAAAUUAUUUGGAUAAAACAAUAGAUGACAAGACAAAUUAUUUUAAUUUUAAGAGAAUGGGUGUAUGAUUUUGUGGUUAAAAGGUUAAUUUAUAUUUACUAGACUUGGGACAUCCAAGAGUGUCACACCUUUCAAAUAAAACUAUAAAUUAAGUUGGCCUAUAGUUUAAAUUGUACUUGCUAGUUCAUAAUGAAAAAAUAUCGCACAGAUCCUGACCUUUGAGAAUAUAUC
rnacentral:lncRNA from 1 species